rnacentral:rRNA from 1 species
UACGUAGGUGACAAGCGUUGUCCCGGAUUUACUGGGCGUAAAGAGCGCGCAGGCGGUCGUUCAAGUCGAGUGUGAAAGCCCCACGGCUCAACCGUGGAGGGUCAUUGGAAACUGGGGAACUUGAGUGCAGAAGAGGAAAGUGGAUUCCAAGUGUAGCGGUGAAAUGCGUAGAGAUUUGGAGGAACACCAGUGGCGAAGGCGACUUUCUGUCUGUAACUGACACUGAGGCGCGAAAGCGUGGGGAGCAGCAACG